UAUACUGCAACAGGAAAUAAACUGGGACACAUUUAGAAUGUUUACGUUUAAAACUGUGAAAUUGUCUAAAUAUUGUAGAUUUGUGACAUCACAAAUGUACAGAAAUCCUAACGGCUUGUUUCAAACGCACAGUUUUUGAAUACAGGCUGUGCGUGUUUAUCCGUGGAUUGAGUGUUUUGAUACUUUCACAGUAUUUAUAUAUCACUUUAACCUGCUUUAUAAUAUAAAAGACAUGAAAAUCUCACUUUCUACAAUAUGGGACCUUUAAAAU